rnacentral:rRNA from 1 species
GAAGCCGGAAUUGCUAGUAAUGGCAGGUCAGCAUACUGCCGUGAAUACGUUCCCGGGCCUUGUACACACCGCCCGUCACACCAUGAGAGUUGGGGAUACCCGAAGCCUGUGAGCUAACUAUUUAUAGGAGCAGCAGUCGAAGGUAGAAUCAAUGAUUGGGGUGAAGUCGUAACAAGGUACC